CCUACGGGUGGCAGCAGUGAGGAAUAUUGGUCAAUGGACGAGAGUCUGAACCAGCCAAGUAGCGUGAAGGAUGACUGCCCUAUGGGUUGUAAACUUCUUUUAUAUGGGAAUAAAAUGUUCCACGUGUGGGAUUUUGUAUGUACCAUAUGAAUAAGGAUCGGCUAACUCCGUGCCAGCAGCCGCGGUAAUACGGAGGAUCCAAUCGUUAUCCGGCUUUAUUGGGUUUAAGGGAAGCGUAGGUGGAUUGUUAAGUCAGUUGUGAAAGUUUGCGGCUCAACCGUAAAAUUGCAGUUGAAACUGGCAGUCUUGAGUACAGUAGAGGUGGGCGGAAUUCGUGGUGUAGCGGUGAAAUGCUUAGAGAUCACGAAGAACUCCGAUUGCGAAGGCAGUUCACUGGACUGCAACUGACACUGAGGCUCGAAAGUGUGGGUAUCAAACAGGAUUAGAUACCCUUGUAGUC
rnacentral:rRNA from 1 species